rnacentral:rRNA from 1 species
CAGGGAUUGCCUCAGUAACGGCGAGUGAAGCGGCAACAGCUCAAAUUUUAAAGCCGGCGUCCUCGACGUCCGCGUUGUAAUUUGGAGAGGCAUCUUCGGUUAGGGCGCCAGCCUAUGUUCCUUGGAACAGGACGUCACAGAGGGUGAGAAUCCCGUGCUUGGCUGGCUGUCCCUCUCCAUGUGAAGUGCCUUCGACGAGUCGAGUUGUUUGGGAAUGCAGCUCAAAAUGGGUGGUAAAUUUCAUCUAAAGCUAAAUAUUGGCGGGAGACCGAUAGCGCACAAGUAGAGUGAUCGAAAGAUGAAAAGCACUUUGAAAAUAGAGUUAAAAAGUACGUGAAAUUGUUGAAAGGGAAGCGCUUGAGACCAGACUCGGCCGGAGACGAUCAGCGGUCCUUCUGGGCCGUGCACUCGUCUACGGUCGGGCCAGCAUCGGUUGGGACGGCGGGAUAAAGGCCCGGGGAAUGUGGCUCCUUUCGGGGAGUGUUAUAGCCCCGGGCGCAAUGCCGCCAGCCCCGACCGAGGACCGCGCUCUUUUGCUAGGAUGCUGGCGUAAUGGUCUUCAGCGACCCGUCUUGAAACACGGACCAAGGAGUCUAACAUCUAUGCGAGUGUUUGGGUGUCAAACCCUUGCGCGUAAUGAAAGUGAACGGAGGUGGGAACCCCUCGCUCGGGGGGCGCACCAUCGACCGAUCCUGAUGUCUUCGGAUGGAUUUGAGUAGGAGCAUAGCUGUUGGGACCCGAAAGAUGGUGAACUAUGCCUGAAUAGGGUGAAGCCAGAGGAAACUCUGGUGGAGGCUCGCAGCGGUUCUGACGUGCAAAUCGAUCGUCAAAUUUGGGUAUAGGGCGAAAG